UGCAGUCGAACGAUGAACCACUUCGGUGGGGAUUAGUGGCGAACGGGUGAGUAACACGUGGGCAAUCUGCCCUGCACUCUGGGACAAGCCCUGGAAACGGGGUCUAAUACCGGAUACUGAUCAUCUUGGGCAUCCAAGGUGUUCGAAAGCUCCGGCGGUGCAGGAUGAGCCCGCGGCCUAUCAGCUUGUUGGUGAGGUAAUGGCUCACCAAGGCGACGACCGGGUAGCCGGCCUGAGAGGGCGACCGGCCACACUGGGACUGAGACACCGGCCCAGACUCCUACCGGGAGGCAGCAGUGGGGAAUAUUGCACAAUGGGCGAAAGCCUGAUGCAGCGACGCCGCGUGAGGGAUGACGGCCUUCGGGUUGUAAACCUCUUUCAGCAGGGAAGAAGCGAAAGUGACGGUACCUGCAGAAGAAGCGCCGGCUAACUACGUGCCAGCAGCCGCGGUAAUACGUAGGGCGCGAGCGUUGUCCGGGAAUUAUUGGGCGUAAAGAGCUCGUAGGCGGCUUGUCACGUCGGUUGUGAAAGCCCGGGGCUUAACCCCGGGUCUGCAGUCGAUACGGGCAGGCUAGAGUUCGGUAGGGGAGAUCGGAAUUCCUGGUGUAGCGGUGAAAUGCGCAGAUAUCAGGAGGAACACCGGUGGCGAAGGCGGAUCUCUGGGCCGAUACUGACGCUGAGGAGCGAAAGCGUGGGGAGCGAACAGGAUUAGAUACCCUGGUAGUCCACGCCGUAAACGGUGGGCACUAGGUGUGGGCAACAUUCCACGUUGUCCGUGCCGCAGCUAACGCAUUAAGUGCCCCGCCUGGGGAGUACGGCCGCAAGGCUAAAACUCAAAGGAAUUGACGGGGGCCCGCACAAGCGGCGGAGCAUGUGGCUUAAUUUCGACGCAACGCGAAGAACCUUACCAAGGCUUGACAUACACCGGAAACGUCUGGAGACAGGCGCCCCCUUGUGGUCGGUGUACAGGUGGUGCAUGGCUUGUCGUCAGCUCGUGUCGUGAGAUUGUUGGGUUAAGUCCCGCAACGAGCGCAACCCUUGUCCCGUGUUGCCAGCAGGGCCCUUGUGGUGCUGGGGACCUCCACGGGAGACCGCCUGGGGUCAACUCGGAGGAAGGUGGGGGACGACGUCAAGUCAUCAUGCCCCUUAUGUCUUGGGCUGCACACGUGCUACAAUGGCCGGUACAAUGAGCUGCGAUACCGUGAGGUGGAGCGAAUCUCAAAAAGCCGGUCUCAGUUCGGAUUGGGGUCUGCAACUCGACCCCAUGAAGUCGGAGUCGCUAGUAAUCGCAGAUCAGCAUUGCUGCGGUGAAUACGUUCCCGGGCCUUGUACACACCGCCCGUCACGUCACGAAAGUCGGUAACACCCGAAGCCGGUGGCCCAACCUCCUUGUG
rnacentral:rRNA from 1 species